GCUUUUGUGCCAUUGUCGUACGCCGUCUUGGCGCGCGUUUAGUCGAUGGAUUUUACAGUCCUUCUUCUUCUUCUUCUUGGGCGGUGUUGGGCAACGGCCAGUUACAACAGUGCGUCACAUCCGAGCAAGCACGCAGACCGAUCGAUUGAUUUAUGAUUUGCAAUGAAGCCCCACACACCUCCAUCAAACCAACGAAGAGAGUGGAUGCGGAAAAGGUACGCGUGUUGUGUAAACAAGAGAUGACUAACAGGCUUGACAAGCUCUCAUCAACACAACGAAAUUGAAACCUCGUGUUUAAUAACAUUUCCUCUAAAGAGCGCCAAAGCACCCACCACCGAACACACAAUUGUAA